rnacentral:rRNA from 1 species
AACCGUGGACGGGUGAUCACUCGGUUCGUCCGUCGAUGAAUAGCGCGGCUAUCCGCGUGAACUGAUGCAAAUUGCAGGACUCACUGAACAUCGACACCUGGAACACACAUUGCGGCCCCGGGAUGCUGUCGUCCCGGGGCUCCGUACGGUCGAGAGACG